rnacentral:rRNA from 1 species
CAAGUCUCAGUACAGACUGAAAUAAAGUGAAACCGCAAAAGGCUCAGUAAACCAGUCAUGAUUCACUGGAGUAAACCUUGACUGUGUCUUGGAUAACUGUGGUAAUUCUAGAGCUAAUACAUGCAACUCAAGUCUCCGACCGGUAACGGCGGGGACGCUUUUAUUAGGAUCAAGACCAUUCGCUUCGGCGUUUACUUGAUGACUCAGAAUAACACCUCAGAUCGCGUCGGUCUCCGUACCGGCGACUUAUCUUUCAAAUGCCUGACUUAUCAACUGACGAUGGUAGACUCUGCGUCUACCAUGGUCGUUACGGGUAACGGGGAAUCAGGGUUCGAUUCCGGAGAGGGAGCCUGAGAAACGGCUACCACAUCCAAGGAAGGCAGCAGGCACGCAAAUUACCCACUCCCGGCACGGGGAGGUAGUGACAAAAAAUAACGAUUACCGGGACUCUUUUAGAGGCCCCCGUAAUCGGAAUGAAUACAACUUUAAAACCUUAUUUAAAGGUCCAUCGGAGGGAAAAGUCUGGUG